CCUACGGGAGGCAGCAGUGAGGAAUAUUGGUCAAUGGGAGAGAUCCUGAACCAGCCAAGCCGCGUGAGGGAAGACGGCCCUAUGGGUUGUAAACCUCUUUUGUCGGAGAACAAAACCCGGGACGUGUCCCGGACUGCGUGUAUCCGAAGAAAAAGCAUCGGCUAACUCCGUGCCAGCCGCCGCGGUAAUAAGGAGGAUGCCAGCGUUAUCCGGAUUUAUUGGGUUUCAAGGGUGCGUAGGCGGUCCGUUAAGUCAGCGGUAAAAUUGCGGGGCUCAACCCCGUCGAGCCGUUGAAACUGGCAGACUUGAGUUGGCGAGAAGUACGCGGAAUGCGCGGUGUAGAGGUGAAAUGCAUAGAUAUCGCGCAGAACUCCGAUUGCGAAGGCAGCUUACCAAACUAUAUCUGACGUUGAGGCACGAAAGCGUGGGUAGCAAACAGGAUUAGAGACCCUUGUAGUC
rnacentral:rRNA from 1 species